rnacentral:rRNA from 1 species
AUUGAACGCUGGCGGCAUGCCUUACACAUGCAAGUCGAACGGCAGCACGGGAGCAAUCCUGGUGGCGAGUGGCGAACGGGUGAGUAAUAUAUCGGAACGUGCCCAGUCGUGGGGAUAACGUAGCGAAAGUUACGCUAAUACCGCAUACGAUCUAAGGAUGAAAGCGGGGGAUCGCAAGACCUCGCGCGAUUGGAGCGGCCGAUAUCAGAUUAGGUAGUUGGUGAGGUAAAGGCUCACCAAGCCAACGAUCUGUAGCUGGUCUGAGAGGACGACCAGCCACACUGGAACUGAGACACGGUCCAGACUCCUACGGGAGGCAGCAGUGGGGGAAUUUUGGACAAUGGACGCAAGUCUGAUCCAGCCAUUCCGCGUGCAGGAUGAAGGCCCUCGGGUUGUAAACUGCUUUUGUACGGAACGAAAGGUUUCUAUUAAUACUAGGAGCUCAUGACGGUACCGUAAGAAUAAGCACCGGCUAACUACGUGCCAGC